GUUGCCUCCUUGCACAACUGAAUGUUACUCUAACCCUUCUCUUAUGGGCUGUACCAACUCUCUAAAACGCUCUCGUCUCUCUUCUUCUCACACAAGAUAUAUUACUCAACCAAGGCAUAAACAAAACAAUCAUCAAGAUUUUUUUGCCACCACUGUGUAUUGUACUUGAUAUCUCAUGGUUGUAAACUCACUUCCUUGAAGACCAAGUAAUUUUGAUUGAAUACUAAAAAAAAUAUAUUUCAGAUGUAAUUUUUUUUCCCUCUAGUGAAGAAUGUAUUGAAUUGCCUUUUUAUUAUGUUCUGUGAACCCUACCAUUCUAGGUAGGUACUAGUUAAAUGAAUUUUGGUGCACCACC